rnacentral:rRNA from 1 species
AGAGUUUGAUCAUGGCUCAGAAUCAACGCUGGCGGCGUGCCUAACACAUGCAAGUCGCACGAGAAAGUGGAGCAAUCCAUGAGUAAAGUGGCGCACGGGUGAGUAACACGUGAAUCAUCUACCUUCGAGUGGGGAAUAACUGGGAGAAAUCUCAGCUAAUACCGCAUAAUACCUACGGGUCAAAGCAGCAAUGCGCUUGAAGAGGAGUUCGCGGCAGAUUAGUUAGUUGGCGGGGUAAUGGCCCACCAAGACGAUGAUCUGUAUCCGGCCUGAGAGGGCGCACGGACACACUGGAACUGAAACACGGUCCAGACUCCUACGGGAGGCGGCAGUGGGGAAUUUUGCGCAAUGGGGGAAACCCUGACGCAGCAACGCCGCGUGGAGGAUGACAUAUCUUGGUAUGUAAACUCCUUUCGAUAGGGAAGAUUAUGACGGUACCUAUAGAAGAAGCCCCGGCUAACUUCGUGCCAGCAGCCGCGGUAAUACGAGGGGGGCAAGCGUUGUUCGGAUUUAUUGGGCGUAAAGGGUGCGUAGGCGGUUUGAUAAGUCUGGUGUGAAAUCUUUGGGCUCAACCCAAAGUCUGCACUAGAAACUGUCGGGCUUGAGUAUGGGAGAGGUGAGUGGAAUUUCCGGUGUAGCGGUGAAAUGCGUAGAUAUCGGAAGGAACACCUGUGGCGAAAGCGGCUCACUGGACCAUUACUGACGCUGAUGCACGAAAGCUAGGGGAGCAAACAGGAUUAGAUACCCUAGUAGUCC